rnacentral:rRNA from 1 species
UACAGAGGGUGCGAGCGUUAAUCGGAAUUACUGGGCGUAAAGGGCGCGUAGGCGGUUAUAUAAGAUUGGUGUGAAAUCCCUGGGCUUAACCUAGGAACUGCAUCGAUUACUGUAUGACUGGAGUAUUGUAGAGGGUAGUGGAAUUUCCGGUGCAGCGGUGAAAUGCGUAGAGAUCGGAAGGAACACCAGUGGCGAAGGCGGCUACCUGGCCUAAUACUGACACUGAGGCACGAAAGCGUGGGGAGCAAACAGG